rnacentral:rRNA from 1 species
AUGCGGCAGGCUUACACAUGCAAGUCGAACGGUAACAGGCAAGAGCUUGCUCUUGUGCUGACGAGUGGCGGACGGGUGAGUAAUGCUUGGGAAUCUGGCUUAUGGAGGGGGAUAACUACUGGAAACGGUAGCUAAUACCGCGUAAUGUCUACGGACUAAAGGGUGGGACCAUUUGGCCACCUGCCAUAAGAUGAGCCCAAGUGGGAUUAGGUAGUUGGUGAGGUAACGGCUCACCAAGCCCACGAUCUCUAGCUGGUCUGAGAGGAUGACCAGCCACACUGGAACUGAGACACGGUCCAGACUCCUACGGGAGGCAGCAGUGGGGAAUAUUGCACAAUGGGGGGAACCCUGAUGCAGCCAUGCCGCGUGAAUGAAGAAGGCCUUCGGGUUGUAAAGUUCUUUCGGUGACGAGGAAGGCGAUUGUUUUAAUAGAACAAUCGAUUGACGUUAAUCACAGAAGAAGCACCGGCUAACUCCGUGCCAGCAGCCGCGGUAAU